rnacentral:misc_RNA from 1 species
UUUGUUGCCGCUGCUUCUCUCACUCUCCCUUGGCCUUGAUAAUGGAAUUGUACGAUUUAUACUUAUAACCAACAUCAUUCUCUCAUACUCUUUUGUGCAGUUCUCUCCUGUCUUUGUUUCCUCUCAUCUACUUUCCCAAACAACUUCGCUUGCUCCUCCUCCUGACGCCUCCUCAUUCAAAACUAGAAAAGCCAAGGGGUUUGACUUCUUCUCUAGCAUCUUGGAGAUGGUGAAAUUCGAUUGAAUUGAAUUGGUGAGAUUGAUUGAAACUUCUAUUGGGUUGAGUAAUUUUACUAAUGGGAUUUUUUUUUUUAAAUCAAAGCUAGGUAUAUCUACAAUUUCUUUGCUUGAUUUUUGUGGGUUUGUGAAAUUGAUUAUUGUGGGUUUGAGAUGAUUGAUCUUGGGACAUGAAGAAGGUGUUAGCUUGCAGUGUUUUUGGUUACAAUUUUAGGUUCCUGGGCAUGACAGUUGUGAUUUUGGGUGUGUGUGAGAGAUGGAGGGAAGAGGUGUGUGUGUGUGUGUGUGUGUG